AAGUUGUGAUGAUUGCUGCGCUUCCAAUGAAGCAAGGGUUCUUCUUGAUCGACUGACUCAAGACGAUAAAACAGCGCCUCUGAACUU